rnacentral:rRNA from 1 species
CUUGCUAUGGUAUAAUUUAGUGGCAGACGGGUGAGUAAUGUAUAGGAAUCUACCUAGUAGUACGGAAUAAUUGUUGGAAACUGCAACUAAUACCGUAUACGCCCCACGGGGAAAAAUUUAUUGCUAUUAGAUGAGCCUAUAUUGGAUUAGCUUGUUGGUAAGGUAAUAGCUUACCAAGGCAAUGAUCUAUAGCUGAUCUGAGAGGAUGAUCAGCCACACUGGAACUGAGAUACGGUCCAGCCUCCUACGGGAGGCAGCAGUGGGGAAUAUUGGACAAUGGGCGAAAGCCUGAUCCAGCUAUGCCGCAUGAGUGAAGAAGGCCUUUGGGUUGUAAAGCUCUUUUAGUGAGGAAGAUAAUGACGGUACUCACAGAAGAAGUCCUGGCUAACUCCGUGCCAGCAGCCGCGGUAAUACGGAGAGGGCUAGCGUUAUUCGGAAUUAUUGGGCGUAAAGGGCGCGUAGGCUGAUUAAUAAGUUAAAAGUGAAAUCCCGAGGCUUAACCUUGGAAUUGCUUUUAAAACUGUUAAUCUAGAGAUUGAAAGAGGAUAGAGGAAUUCCUGAUGUAGAGGUAAAAUUCGUAAAUAUUAGGAGGAACACCAGUGGCGAAGGCGUCUAUCUAGUUCAAAUCUGACGCUGAGGCGCGAAGGCGUGGGGAGCAAACAGGAUUAGAUACCCUGGUAGUCCACGCUGUAAACGAUGAAUGUUAAAUAUGGGAAAUUUAUUUUCUGUAUUACAGCUAACGCGUUAAACAUUCCGCCUGGGGACUACGGUCGCAAGAUUAAAACUCAAAGGAAUUGACGGGG